GGUUUUAACCCAGUAUCUCAAGGUACUUCGGGCUUCUGACCACCUUUCGGGGUUGCGUCAAAACCUAAAUUUUUGGCUAGCCUUUCCGGGGAUUCCGGGAGGGCAAC
rfam:Haemonchus contortus, ISE/inbred ISE, WGS project CAVP01000000 data, contig: Hcontortus_33297